rnacentral:rRNA from 1 species
GCAAAGUCAGUAGUUCCAAAUCGAUGGCGGCGAAGCUGAAUGACAGGAAAAGUGAAAAGGCAUUAUCUCCGCAGGAGAAACAGAAACGAAAGCCGAAGCAGGAUUCGUCUUCGUAUGAAAGUAU